rnacentral:rRNA from 1 species
UCCGUAGGUGAACCUGCGGAGGGAUCAUUACCGAGUUUACAACUCCCAAACCCAAUGUGAACCAUACCAAACUGUUGCCUCGGCGGGGUCACGCCCCGGGUGCGUCGCAGCCCCGGAACCAGGCGCCCGCCGGAGGGACCAACCAAACUCUUUUCUGUAGUCCCCUCGCGGACGUUAUUUCUUACAGCUCUGAGCAAAAAUUCAAAAUGAAUCAAAACUUUCAACAACGGAUCUCUUGGUUCUGGCAUCGAUGAAGAACGCAGCGAAAUGCAAUAAGUAAUGUGAAUUGCAGAAUUCAGUGAAUCAUCGAAUCUUUGAACGCACAUUGCGCCCGCCAGUAUUCUGGCGGGCAUGCCUGUCCGAGCGUCAUUUCAACCCUCGAACCCCUCCGGGGGGUCGGCGUUGGGGACCUCGGGAGCCCCUAAGACGGGAUCCCGGCCCCGAAAUACAGUGGCGGUCUCGCCGCAGCCUCUCCUGCGCAGUAGUUUGCACAACUCGCACCGGGAGCGCGGCGCGUCCACGUCCGUAAAACACCCAACUUCUGAAAUGUUGACCUCGGAUCAGGUAGGAAUACCCGCUGAACUUAAGCAUAUCAAUAAGCGGAGGAA